UCUCAGUCACUUCACAUCUCUAUCAACAUGCUGCUCUCUAUCCUUUCUCUCCUAGCACUGCUUUUAGGAGACACAUCAGCACAGACAGUUGUACCACUGGAAAGAGAAAUUCAUGUUUCAGAGGGUGAUGAAGUAACUCUGUCCUGCAACUACAGUACGAGUGAUACUAAUGAUGUUCUUCAGUGGUAUCGUCAGUUUCCCAGAUCCAGACCAGAGUUUCUCCUGUAUAUUAACCUGCAAGGGUUUAAGAGUGAUCCUCCUCCUGGAAUGUCUGUUGAACUUCAUCAAGACAAGCGUGUGGAUCUGUUGAUCUCCUCUGCUGCAGUAUCAGACUCUGCACUCUACUACUGUGCCUUGAGGCCCACAAUGGCAGGAAACCCGGCUACACUGUACAAAAACCCCUUAUUAUACUCCUUACAAUACACAACUUUAAACAUUAGAUACUGUACAAAGCCUGUGAAUUAAUAAUGCUAUUUUUCUUAAAAUAUAUCUACAGA